AGCACCGGCUAACUACGUGCCAGCAGCCGCGGUAAUACGUAGGGUGCAAGCGUUAUCCGGAAUUAUUGGGCGUAAAGGGCUCGUAGGCGGUUCGUCGCGUCCGGUGUGAAAGUCCAUCGCUUAACGGUGGAUCCGCGCCGGGUACGGGCGGGCUUGAGUGCGGUAGGGGAGACUGGAAUUCCCGGUGUAACGGUGGAAUGUGUAGAUAUCGGGAAGAACACCAAUGGCGAAGGCAGGUCUCUGGGCCGUCACUGACGCUGAGGAGCGAAAGCGUGGGGAGCGAACAGGAUUAGAUACCCUGGUAGUCCACGCCGUAAACGGUGGAUGCUGGAUGUGGGGACCAUUCCACGGUCUCCGUGUCGGAGCCAACGCGUUAAGCAUCCCGCCUGGGGAGUACGGCCGCAAGGCUAAAACUCAAAGAAAUUGACGGGGGCCCGCACAAGCGGCGGAGCAUGCGGAUUAAUUCGAUGCAACGCGAAGAACCUUACCUGGGCUUGACAUGUUCCCGACAGCCGUAGAGAUACGGUUUCCCUUCGGGGCGGGUUCACAGGUGGUGCAUGGUCGUCGUCAGCUCGUGUCGUGAGAUGUUGGGUUAAGUCCCGCAACGAGCGCAACCCUCGCCCUGUGUUGCCAGCACGUCGUGGUGGGAACUCACGGGGGACCGCCGGGGUCAACUCGGAGGAAGGUGGGGAUGACGUCAGAUCAUCAUGCCCCUUACGUCCAGGGCUUCACGCAUGCUACAAUGGCCGGUACAACGGGAUGCGACACCGCGAGGUGGAGCGGAUCCCUUAAAACCGGUCUCAGUUCGGAUUGGAGUCUGCAACCCGACUCCAUGAAGGCGGAGUCGCUAGUAAUCGCGGAUCAGCAACGCCGCGGUGAAUGCGUUCCCGGGCCUUGUACACACCGCCCGUCAAGUCAUGAAAGUGGGUAGCACCCGAAGCCGGUGGCCCAACCUUUUGGGGGGAGCCGUCUAAGGUGAGACUCGUGAUUGGGACUAAGUCGUAACAAGGUAGCCGUACCGGAAGGUGCGGCUG
rnacentral:rRNA from 1 species